rnacentral:rRNA from 1 species
ACUCAAUAGAUACCCAGGUAGUCCACGCCGUAAACGUUGGGCGCUAGGUGUGGGGGCCAUUCCACGGUCUCCGUGCCGCAGCUAAACGCAUUAAGCGCCCCGCCUGGGGAGUACGGCCGCAAGGCUAAAACUCAAAGGAAUUGACGGGGGCCCGCACAAGCGGCGGAGCAUGUUGCUUAAUUCGAUGCAACGCGAAGAACCUUACCUAGGCUUGACAUGCACGGAAAUCUCGCAGAGAUGCGGGGUUGCCUUUGGCGUCGUGCACAGGUGGUGCAUGGUUGUCGUCAGCUCGUGUCGUGAGAUGUUGGGUUAAGUCCCGCAACGAGCGCAACCCUCGUUCCAUGUUGCCAGCACGUAAUGGUGGGGACUCAUGGGAGACUGCCGGGGUCAACUCGGAGGAAGGUGGGGAUGACGUCAAAUCAUCAUGCCCCUUAUGUCUAGGGCUGCAAACAUGCUACAAUGGCCGGUACAAAGGGCUGCGAUACCGUGAGGUGGAGCGAAUCCCAAAAAGCCGGUCUCAGUUCGGA